GACGAACGCUGGCGGCGUUCCUAAUACAUGCAAGUAGAACGCACAGUUUAUACCUUAGCUUGCUACACCAUAGACUGUGAGUUGCGAACGGGUGAGUAACGCGUAGGUAACCUGCCUGGUAGCGGGGGAUAACUAUUGGAAACGAUAGCUAAUACCGCAUAAUAUUGAUUAUUGCAUGAUAAUUGAUUGAAAGAUGCUAUUGCAUCACUACCAGAUGGACCUGCGUUGUAUUAGCUAGUAGGUGAGGUAACGGCUCACCUAGGCGACGAUACAUAGCCGACAUGAGAGGGAGAACGGACAAACUGGGACUGAGACACGGCCGAGAAUCAUACGGAAGGCAGCAGUAGGGAAGAUUCGGCAAGGGACGAAAGUCUGACCGAGCAACACCGCGUGAGUGAAGAAGGUUUUCGGAUCGGAAAGCGCUGUUGAAAGAGAAGAAAGGGUGUGAGAGUGGAAAGUUCACACUGUGACGGUAUCUUACCAGAAAGGGACGGCUAAAUACGUG
rnacentral:rRNA from 1 species